AUCGCUCCACUAACACACAAACACCUGGAGUGGAAGGUAGGGCUGAGCUGGCCCCUAUUACAAGGCCACCUGCAGCCCAGACAGUUCCAAUCCAUUUCCGUUGCUUGUUGUCCCUCCUGUCCUUGCGCGUGCGUGUGCUAACGGACACAAAUGCGCUUUCACACAUUCUGACUCCAAGAUAGGGAAACUGAGACCCAAAGGCCCCAGAGGGGUUUUUUCCCCAGGGAUCUCAAACUCUUUGCAGCUGUGUCCGGUACCUUCAGGAGCUGGCUACAGCCUCACGCUUCCUUAUUCAGAGGUUUGAGGAUAUGUGACAGGAAGAAAUACCUCCAGUCAAUCUGCUGGUAGCGUUUGUAAAGCUUCUUUCAGUCCACAGCAGGCUUUCACUGGCGCCUGCACUGCCCCAUCCUUGGGUUGGGCCGAGCUCCCUGCCCUUUUCCAGAUCUCCUCCACACAGCCGCCCUGGUCAAGUUCUGGGACCAACUACUGGCAGCUGCUGCAUCCAAGCCAGAUCAGUUACCUGUGAGGGGGACAGGAGUCUUUCUCUCCGCCAGCCCCCUGGCCAGGGCAGGCAUCCACAAUCAGCAGGAACAUUUGAGCACCCGCAGCCACCAGGCCGAGUCUGGCUGGGACAUCUGAAGUUCGUUAGCUGCCUGCUCCCGGGGGGCUGACCCCACUUGGUGAGAAUAACCCAAGACAGAGAUGUAGAGGACACGGCAAACAAAGACCAGCUGUUCCCUGAGGAAUAAAACCUGACAGCAGAUGCUGGAAGACAGCCUUAGACCGGAUUCUGGAAAGGCCUGACGUCUCUUCCAGAAGAGCAGAGUUUCCGCCUGAACGGAAUAGUUUAAGCGCAGGAUACAGUGGUGAACGUCUGUCCCCAGCCAUCCAUGGGCUGUGUGUGUGGACUGUUGCACACAGAAGCCAAAUGAGGCCUGGCACUGCGGGCUCCCUGUCAGGGACUGAUGGCAGGAUGCAGGUGCGCCUCCCCGUCUAGCCCUGCCUAAUAUCCCACCUGAGAUGGGUGUGACUUGCCAAGAUGUCACUCAAUCUGCUGACCACAAGACAUCUCAAAGCAAGACUCCACCCUUGAAACCUUAUCCUUGCCUCUGAUGUCCCCACUAUAAAAUUAAAAAAAAAUGCGGGCCCACUCUCUUUCCAGCAUGGACACUGACCCUUAAGGUCACAGAGCCAUCCUGCCCUCCAUCUAAAA